rnacentral:rRNA from 1 species
AACCUGGUUGAUCCUGCCAGUAUUAUAUGCUUGUCUUAAAGAUUAAGCCAUGCAAAUGUAAGAUCAGGCACAUGCAGGUUCUUUCCUGUUAAUUGUAAGUCUGUGGCAGGCUCAUUAUAUCAGUUAUAAACCUAACCACCGGUAGAAAUUACAAGGAUAACGACUGUUAACUGCAGCGCUAAUACUUGUGGUGCAGAUAAAUUCUGUACGCGAUGGUAGUACAAAUAUUAUAGGAAUAGGUACUAUCGCAACUCUUGCUUGUUCUAAACAAGCUUGAGAGUCGAUCGCCAGGUGAAUGUGCCUUGUGCAUAUUCGUAAUAAUAAGCUUUAUUUGGCUCUAAUAAGGCUAAUGAAAGUUUAUUAUUACUGGUGACCAGGAAGAGGUGUUUCUUCCCUAUCAGCUCAAGUUGCUAGUGUAAGGUGCUAGCACGGCGACUACGGGUACAGGGAAUUAGUGUUCGAUUCUGGAGAGGGAGCCUGAGAAAUUGCUACCACAUCUAAGGACGGCAGCAGGCGCGUAAAUUACCCAAUUCCAAUACGGAGAGGUAGUGACAAGCUAUAGUGACUUCACGCUAACAGCGGGAAGGUACCCAUCUUUUUGGGUUUAUCAUGAUUUAGGUUUAAACCACCUUUUGAGAAACAACUAGAGGAAAAGUCUGGUGCCAGCACCCGCGGUAAUACCAGCUCUAGUAGCGUAUAUUAAUACUGUUGCAGUUAAAACGCUCGUAGUGAAUCUAAGGGUUAAGACUUAGGCAAUUGGCUACCAGGUAUAUAUAAGGGAUGAGUUUAUUACUUGUCUAUUAUAUAAAACCUGGUAGUCUCAGCGGAAUUUAUACUCUUCAAAGAGUAUAAAAUCUGCAAUUGUCUAAAUCUUACCCGAUCCCUACCAAAAAUUUGGUAGAGGCUCACAUUUCGAGGGCAACUGUGACAAAAUCGCAGCGCUUAAAGCAGGCUGAAAUAUAUUUGCCUGAGCGAUCAAGCAUAGGACUGCAUAAUUAGUCACAUUUCUGAAGUAUAGGGACAUUGUUUUCCUAUAUGGAGGAAAUGUGGCGGUCAUAAUGGGGGUUUGGGUGAGGUUCCAGGUAUCGUAUAGUUAAGGGUGAAAUCUAAUUACCUAUGCGAGACUACCGGAGGCGAAAGCUGUUGUGAACCACCACACGCCCAUCCACGAGGGACGAAAGUUGGGGGAGCGAAGACGAUUAGAUACCGUUGUAGUCCCAACCAUAAACUCUACAGACGGAAAAUUGAGUAUGAAAGUUUCAAUUCCUAUAUCUUCUCAGCACUCCAGAGAAAUCGUAAGUCUUUGUGUUCUGGGGGAAGUAUGGUCGCAAGGCUGAAACUUAAAGGAAUUGACGGAAAGGCACAACCAGGAGUGGAGUUUGCGGUUUAAUUUGACUCAACGCGGGAAAACUUACCAGGUCAGGACACACGGUUGAUUGACAGGUUGAUAGCCCUUUCUUGAUUGUGUGGAGGGUGGUGCAUGGCCGUUUUCAGUUCGUGGAGUGAUCUGUCUAGUUAAUUCUGAUAACGAACGAGACCUAAACAACUACUUAGACGUGGCCUCUUGACAAUCAUGUCAUGAGGAUAUGUUUCCAUGGUUAGGUUAUUUAGACUUAGCUGCGUGAAACCCACGAAAAGCAAAUCUCAAGAUUUGCGAGCUUCUUAGUUGGACAACGUCGCGUCCUUUUAGGGCGAAGGAAGAUUUAGGCGAUAACAGGUCUGUGAUGCUCUUAGAUGUUCUGGGCCACACGCGUACUACAACAGCUGUGGCAACAAGCUUCAUCACUAUAUUUUUUCAUAUAGUGACCUUAUCUGAAAGGAUUGGGGAAGCUUUUUAAAUACAGAUUAUGACAGGGAUUGAAGAUUGGAAAAUCUUCAUGAACGAGGAAUUCCUAGUAGUAGUGGUUCAUUAUACCACUACGAUUACGUCCCUGCCUUUUGUACACACCGCCCGUCGCUCCUACCAACUGGAUGAAGAGAUGAAUUUGAGCGACUGGCCAAUUUUUUUUUAAUUUGGCUGGGAAAUCAACUGAAUCUCUUUAUCUGUAGGAAGGAAAAGUCGUAACAAGGUCUUCGUAGGUGAACCUGCAGAAGGAUCA